rnacentral:rRNA from 1 species
GACGAACGCUGGCGGCGCGCCUAACACAUGCAAGUCGAACGGAGCUUAGAGAGCUUGCUUUUUAAGCUUAGUGGCGAACGGGUGAGUAACGCGUGAGUAACCUGCCCUAGAGUGGGGGACAACAGUUGGAGACGACUGCUAAUACCGCAUAAGCCCACGGUACCGCAUGGUACUGAGGGAAAAGGAUUUAUUCGCUUUAGGAUGGACUCGCGUCCAAUUAGCUAGUUGGUGAGGUAACGGCCCACCAAGGCGACGAUUGGUAGCCGGACUGAGAGGUUGAACGGCCACAUUGGGACUGAGACACGGCCCAGACUCCUACGGGAGGCAGCAGUGGGGGAUAUUGCACAAUGGGGGAAACCCUGAUGCAGCGACGCCGCGUGGAGGAAGAAGGUUUUCGGAUUGUAAACUCCUGUCGUUAGGGACGAUAAUGACG